rnacentral:rRNA from 1 species
AGGGCGCACAGUCAGUGGGGGUAGACGCGAAACCAAGUGAUCUACACUUGGCCAGGAUGAAGUCCCGGUAACACGGGAUGGAGGUCCGCACCAAUAAGCGUUGAAAAGCUUCUGGAUGAGCCGAGUGUAGGAGUGAAAGGCCAAUCAAACUUGGAGAUAGCUCGUACUCCCCGAAAGGCAUUUAGGUGCCGCGUCGGAUGGUCACCGUGAGAGGUAGAGCGACCGAUAGGACAAGAGGGCUUCACCGCCUAUCGAGUCCUGACGAACUCCGAAUGCUCACGGUCUGCAGUCCGGCAGUAAGGGGGCGGGUGCUAAGGUCCGUCCCCGAGAGGAGAAGAAUCCAGACCGCCGUCUAAGGUCCCGGAGUUCUGCCUGAGUUAGUCUAACGAAGUCUGGUCCCUAUGACAGCUAGGAUGUUGGCUUGGAAGCAGCCAUUCAUUCAAAGAGUGCGUAACAGCUCACUAGUCGAGGGUCCGGGCAUGGAUAAUAAUCGGGUAUAAGGCAGACACCGAAGGCGCGGGAUAGCAAUUAUAAAAGUAUCGGUAGGGGAGCAUACUCACAGCGUCGAAUGGUGUACGUAAGUUAUCCUGGAGCGGUGAGUAAAGCAAAUGUAGGAAUAAGUAACGAUAAGGAGGGUUAGAUUCCCUCCCGCUGUAAGACCAAGGUUUCCCGGGCAAUGCCAAUCAGCCCGGGGUCAGUCGGGUCCUAAGUCUAAGCCGAACGGCGAUGGCGAUGGCAGAGACGGUUAAUAUUCCGUCACUGCCGCAUGGGGCGACGUGGAGACGGAGCAGUGAAACCACCGCGGGGCGACGGAAGUCCCCGUUGAAGGGUGUAGGUGUUGAGGAAGGCAGGCAAAUCCACCUUCCGAGCUGAACCUGAUAGUACGGAGUCCUCCUCGGAGGAAUCUGAUAGUGUGGGUAAUCAUACUCCCGAGAAAAUCCGCUAAGCUUAACCCAUGCGGCACCCGUACCGCAAACGGACACACGUGGUCGGGUAGAACAUA